rnacentral:rRNA from 1 species
UACGUAGGGGGCAAGCGUUGUCCGGAUUUAUUGGGCGUAAAGAGCGUGUAGGCGGCUAGGUAGGUCCGUUGUGAAAACUCGAGGCUCAACCUCGAGACGCCGAUGGAAACCAUCUGGCUAGAGUCCGGAAGAGGAGAGUGGAAUUCCUGGUGUAGCGGUGAAAUGCGCAGAUAUCAGGAAGAACACCCGUGGCGAAGGCGGUUCUCUGGGACGGUACUGACGCUGAGACGCGAAAGCGUGGGGAGCGAACAGG